rnacentral:rRNA from 1 species
UGGGGAAUAUUGCACAAUGGAGGGAACUCUGAUGCAGCGACGCCGCGUGAACGAAGAAGGCUUUCGAGUCGUAAAGUUCUUUUAAAUGGGAAGAUAAUGACGGUACCAUAAGAAAAAGCCCCGGCUAACUACGUGCCAGCAGCCGCGGUAAUACGUAGGGGGCUAGCGUUGUCCGGAAUCACUGGGCGUAAAGGGUUCGCAGGCGGAAAUGCAAGUCAGGUGUAAAAGGCAGUAGCUUAACUACUGUAAGCAUUUGAAACUGCAUAUCUUGAGAAGAGUAGAGGUAAGUGUAAUUUUUAGUGUAGCGGUGAAAUGCGUAGAUAUUAAAAAGAAAACCGGUGGCGAAGGCGACUUACUGGGCUCAUUCUGACGCUGAGGAACGAAAGCGUGGGUAGCAAACAGG